rnacentral:rRNA from 1 species
UAGAUACCCCAGUANNCAACCGCGUGAGGGAUGACAGCCUGUGGGUUGUAAACCUCUUUUCUCAAGGAAGAAGUUCUGACGGUACUUGAGGAAUAAGCAUCGGCUAACUCUGUGCCAGCAGCCGCGGUAAUACAGAGGAUGCAAGCGUUAUCCGGAAUCACUGGGCAUAAAGCGUCUGUAGGUGGUUUGAUAAGUCUGCUGUUAAAGACUAGGGCUUAACCCUAGNAAAGCAGUGGAAACUGNCANACUUGAGUNUGGUAGAGGUACAGGGAAUUCCUAGUGUAGCGGUGAAAUGCGUAGAUAUUAGGAAGAACACCAAUGGCGAAAGCACUGUACUGGGCCACAACUGACACUGAGAGACGACAGCUAGGGGAGCAAAUGGGAUUAGAUACCCCAGUAGUCAA